rnacentral:lncRNA from 1 species
GUCACCAUUUGUUAAUUUCAAUGAAGCUAGCACUUUGGUAGAUCUGCAGGAGGAUGAGGCAAACUCUCUUGCACCUUCUUGCCAUUUUUCACUAUAAACAUUGUGCUCAUUCCCCAUGUUUGAUGGAUGUCAAAAUGACAAUGCAAUAACCAGAGCCCUAUUCAUUAUGAAAGGAAGAUUUUAUCAGCAAAUGUCAUAUGUGUUGUGAUGUUUAGGAGUUUUGUGAAGAAGAAUACCUGGAUUGUUGGCAACAAACCGAAUUGCCGCCCAACCUCCUACUGGGACUCCAAUAGUGUUCAAGUAAGGAGGAUCCUCCAGGUUAAAUUUUGCUGUUUGUUGAUCAUAGUUUCCUGUGCCAUAGCCAAUGACAUAAAAGCUGUGUCCAUGAAGAUGAAUUGGAUGAUUUUCUGUUGUGAGUGUGCCAGUAUUCUGGAAGAUGAUUUGUAUCCUGCUCCCAUACUCGAAAACUAUUGCUCUGGUCCCAUUUGCAGCCUGCGUGUCAUUGGCUAUGUCAUUGGGUGCCCCAUUGACAAAGUCAUAGGCUUUUUCCGGCGUGGUUGGGAAAUCUAAAGUGAAGUAACCUUCCAGUUGCUUGUAAUAUGCUUCCAAAAUCGAGACUUUAGGUUCGAUGAAGCUUAUGUUGUUCAUUGAAGCUGCUAGUCUUCCUUUUCUGGGCCCUUGGCACUUGUUGUUUGGAUUUUCAGAGUUGCAUUUGUUUACAUUUAGCCCGAUUGUGAUAAAGAGAUGAGCGUCAAUGUUUCUUGGAACAUCAACUGCAUUUAGACUUCUGAGCCCAUCCAUGACAGUCUUAACAGCAAUAUUAUCAUUGAAAAUAGGUAACUUAGCUGGUACUGUUACAUUGUUAGGCAAUGCACCAAUGUAUUGGAAAUUAGCUAUUGCUGAUGUGUUUUGAAACUUGACGUUCUUUGCAGACUCGUACGGACCCAUGGCCAUGGAGUAUCUCCCAACGGUUUGAUCAGCUGUGACAAGAAUGUUCAUUGUCUGUCCAGGUACAAGCAUCACACGCUCUGUUGUAUAAGGCUUGGUGUAUUCGCCAUCUACUUCCACUAUGGUCAACCUGUGAUUAGCUAUGGUGAAGAAGGUCUCCAUGUUAAUACCAGCAUUUAUCAGUCUUAGCAGAUAUCGCCGGGCCAGGGAAUUUCUUGUUGACUGUUACAAUCUCGUUUGUUUGGCAUAGCCUGAAUCUAGUUGCAGCGCCAAUCCUGCCAAUAUUCAUUACUUGAAGAGUGAACAAGAGAAAGCUAAGCCGGAACAAGGACGGGACAGCUGAACUGGUCAUCUUGAAUGGAAAGAGACAAGGAGAUUUGAGGUUGAAAGAUACUGCUUAAUGCAACUGGUUUUUAUAGCGUCUGAAGGCGAAAAAUAGGAAAUAAAAUAAAUAGAGUUGAGGAAAAGUUUCAUGAUUUGGAGAGUUGGGAACAGAGACAUUAGUGAUUAUAAGGUGUUGGGAAAGCGUGACUUGUUUCUUGACCCCAGCGUGAGAUUGAAGGCAACACACGAGUUACUAUAAAAGGAGAAAGAUACUCUUAGUUAGUGUCUGCUCUUUGAUUUUGAAUCAGUAAAAGCUUUAUACAUUAUGAUGCAGGAUUCUCUACCAAACCGCUGACUGAUCUGGACCAACCCGGUGACCUAAUGACUAUUUCUUUUGACAGGUCGUUAAUCAUCAACUUUAGGAUCAGCCGGGAUUAGUGAGGUGCAUGAUUUAGCAUGAUUAGAGAGUGUUUAGUAGGGUCGUGUUGGGGUUUUUUAGAGUGUUGAAAGAGAAAGAAGAAGAAAGAGUAAGAAGGGAUCAAGCUUCUUGGUCGGAAGUUUGGAUGGUCUUAAUUCUUUAUUGGUCGUGUCAUCAUCAAAAGUUCGUGCACGCCUUCAUUUGCCAAAGAGAACUCUUAUUUAUUUAUUUUUUUUUUUUCUUCUAAAUUUUGUUUAAUUUCUGAAUUUUUUUUUCCUUAUAUUGUAAGACCACUGAUACUGAUAUUUACGUAAAUUUCUUAUUUGAUUUUUAAUUACGUAAAUUUCU